rnacentral:rRNA from 1 species
GACGUAGGUGGCGAACGUUAUCCGGAAUUAUUGGGCGUAAAGGGUGCGUAGAUGGCUUGAUAAGUUAGCAGUGGGAAAUCGAGGCUCAACCUCGUGGAAGCUGGUAAUACUGUCAGGCUCGAGUGCAGGAGAGGUUAACGGAACUCCAUGUGGAGCGGUAAAAUGUGUAGAUAUUCGGAAGAACACCAGUGGCGAAGGCGACUUACUGGACACAUAUUGACGCUGAGGUGCGAAAUCGUGGGGAGCAAACAGG